rnacentral:rRNA from 1 species
CAGUCGCCACGGGAAUACGUAGGUGGCAAGCGUUGUCCGGAAUUAUUGGGCGUAAAGCGCGCGCAGGCGGCCUAUCCAGUCUGUCUUAAAAGUUCGGGGCUCAACCCCGUGAUGGGAUGGAAACUAGUAGGCUAGAGUAUCGGAGAGGAAAGCGGAAUUCCUAGUGUAGCGGUGAAAUGCGUAGAUAUUAGGAAGAACACCAGUGGCGAAGGCGACUUUCUGGACGAAAACUGACGCUGAGGCGCGAAAGCCAGGGGAGCGAACGGGAUUAGAUACCCCCGUAGUCCCUGUCUCUUAUACA